rnacentral:rRNA from 1 species
UACAGAGGUCUCAAGCGUUGUUCGGAUUCAUUGGGCGUAAAGGGUGUGUAGGUGGCGCGCUAAGUCGGGUGUGAAAUUUCGGAGCUUAACUCCGAAACUGCAUUCGAUACUGGCGUGCUUGAGGACUGGAGAGGAGACUGGAAUUUACGGUGUAGCAGUGAAAUGCGUAGAUAUCGUAAGGAAGACCAGUGGCGAAGGCGGGUCUCUGGACAGUUCCUGACACUGAGACACGAAGGCCAGGGGAG